UCUUACGACCAUAUCACGGUAAAUGCACUGGUUCUCAUCUAAUCAUCGAAGUUAAGUAACGUAGAAGCUAGUACUUAUUAGGAUAACCGCUUGGGAAACCUAAUCGUUGUAAGCA
rnacentral:rRNA from 1 species